UACAGAGGGUGCAAGCGUUGUUCGGAAUUAUUGGGCGUAAAGCGCGUGUAGGCGGCUUUGCAAGUCGGGUGUGAAAGCCCUCAGCUUAACUGAGGAAGUGCGCCCGAAACUGCAGAGCUUGAGUACCGGAGAGGAUGGUGGAAUUCCCCAAGUAGAGGUGAAAUUCGUAGAUAUGGGGAGGAACACCGGUGGCGAAGGCGACAUCUGAGCGGAUACUGACGCUGAGACGCGAAAGCGUGGGUAGCAAACAGG
rnacentral:rRNA from 1 species